AUGUUCUGGGCCGCACGCGCGCUACACUGACAAAGUCAGCGAGUAUAUAACCUUGACCGGAAGGUCCGGGCAAUCUUGUGAAACUUUGUCGUGCUGGGGAUAGACCAUUGCAAUUAUUGGUCUUCAACGAGGAAUUCCUAGUAAGCGCAAGUCAUCAGCUUGCGUUGAUUACGUCCCUGCCCUUUGUACACACCGCCCAUCGCUACUACCGAUUGAAUGGCUUAGUGAGGCCUACGGAUUUGGACUGUGGCCGCAAGGCUGCAAGUUUGGAGAAGCCGGUCAAACUUGGUCAUUUAGAGGAAGUAAAAGUUGUAACAAGGUUUCCGUAGGUGAACCUGCGGAAGGAUCAUUAACAAAUCCAAUAAUUGUGGGAGGGGGAAACCUCUCUUGCAAAUAUUAAACCGCCAAUUCUUUUGGGGAUUGGUUGGCUAAAUAAAUGCAUGUUAUGUUGACAGUGUGUGAGUGAUUAUUAAAUUUAUUGACAACUUUUAACAAUGGAUCUCUAGGCUCUUGCAACGAUGAAGAACGCAGCAAAGUGCGAAAAGUGAUGUGAUUUGCACGAAUCUGUGAGUCAUCUAAUAUUUGAACGCGAAUGGCACUGUUACGCAAGUAGCAGUAUGUCUGUUUGAGAAUCGCAAAACACGAUCAACUCUAGUUAAGAGUUGGAAUUGACCUCAUGGUUACAGCAAUGUCCAUUUGGUUUAAAUGAAUUGAGUUGAUGAGCUUCCCAGCAAUGCUCAAUGUGUGCCAACGGAACAGACGUCCCGAUCUCACAUUGAAUGGCAGUUGUUGCAGAGUUCUAACCUUACAGCUCGCAAAUAUUUAAAAUCAAUUACGAUCUCAAAUCAGGCAAGAUUACCCGCUGAACUUAAGCAUAUCAAUAAGCGGAGGAAAAGAAACUAACAAGGAUUCCCUCAGUAACGGCGAGUGAAGCGGGAAUAGCUCAAAUUUAAAAUCUGGUGUAAAAGCCCGAAUUGUAGUCUAAAGAGGCGUUAUCGGACUCUAGAGUAUCGUACAAGUUCCCUGGAAUGGGACAUCACAGAGGGUGAGAAUCCCGUCUGGACGAUAGGCUAGUGGACAUAUGAGACGUUCUCAAAGAGUCGAGUUGUUUGGGAUUGCAGCUCAAAAUGGGAGGUAAAUUUCUUCUAAGGCUAAAUAAUGGCAAGAGACCGAUAGCAAACAAGUACCGUGAGGGAAAGAUGAAAAGCACCUUGAAAAGGGAGUUAAAAGCGCGUGAAAUUGUUAAAAGGGAAACGAUUGAAGCCAGUAGGACCAUGGAGAGUUCAGCGGUACCCAUUGAGCAUUGCUGCGAUGAGAGUGUUUAAGUGCAUCUCUAGUGGUGUGCGCAGGUGGACUGCCGUGCAUUCUUUCCAUGGUUAGUCAGUGUCAAUUUGGCCUGUCGGAAAAGGACUUGGGGAAGGUGGCCAACAUUAGUUGGCUUUAUAGACCCUCGUAGAUACGAUAGGCUUGAUUGGAAUCGACAACAGUUAACAGGGGCGCAAUAUCUGCAGUUGUGGACUUUUGAGAAUCAGUCGAGUCUCUAAAGGCAUCUAACUGGGAAAGAGUGUCUUGGAUGCUGCGGUGAGUACUGACGAAAUGGCUUUAAACGACCCGUCUUGAAACACGGACCAAGGAGUCUAACAUAUAUGCGAGUAUUUGGGUGGCAAACCCGGAUGCGAAAUGAAAGUGAGUACGAAUGGGAUCCCUUUAUGGGCGCACCAUUGACCGAUCUUGAUAUCUCUUGAAAGAUUUGAGUUAGAGCAUAUCUGUUGGGACCCGAAAGAUGGUGAACUAUGCCUGGAUAGGAUGAAGCCAGAGGAAACUCUGGUGGAGGUCCGAAGCCGUUCUGACGUGCAAAUCGAUGGUCAAAUCUGGGUAUAGGGGCGAAAGACUAAUCGAACC
rnacentral:rRNA from 1 species